ensembl:lncRNA
GUCAGAGCCACUGAAAGUGAAGCACAACUCACCAUAAACAGGACCUCACAAGCCAUAAGCAUGAAAUUAGAUCUAAAUAUUGAUUUACUCCAUAUAAAUGUAUGUGCAAUUCCAGCCUCUGAGCUCUCUGCACAAGGAGAUUUAAUGCCUUUUCAGAAGCACAAGACUGAAACCAAAGCUGUGUUACAGUGCUCAUCACAAACUAUGCUUCGUGUUUCCCUCAGCAAGUAGCCCAUUUUGGAGCUCUCGUCCUUCACCCCAUGGGGCAGGUCGGAGCUCCCUGCACACCCUCUGCCUGGGUCUCCCCCAUGUGUUGCUCGGGCCCACCCUUAGGCCUCACUCAGGCCUGCAUCGGGCCUGCGCGUUGCCAUAGCGACGAGGCGUUGGCCGCCUACCCCUUUAAGAGCGUUCUUGGAGGCCGGAAGUGGCUCCGCGCGGCGCUCUGGUUUUCUCUUCGUCUCUGUGGUUUUCCUGCCUUUCUGCUUCCGGUGGCGGGCACCGCGAGGGGCGGCGUGGCAGGGGUCUGGGCCUGGGGUGGUCAUAGGCCGAGCUGGAGGUCAUAUUGCGGGCUGGAGGUGAGAAUAUGGGAGCUAGGUUAGUCAUUCUGGGAGUGAGGGUACAGAGGUUUGGGGAGGAGGGGUCAUAUAGCGGCUUGGGGUUAGCGCACGGGGUAUGGGAGGAAGUAGAAGGCAGAGGGGACAUGUUGGGGUCUGGGGUCAGGGUAUGGGGGGUUGCGGACAGUCAUAUUUUGGGCUGGAGAUGAAGAUACAGGGGUUUGAGAUGGUUAUACGGGGGGCUAGAGUUAAGGGUGGAGGUGAGGCUGGAGUAGAACCAGAGGGGUCAAAUUGAGGCCUGAGAGACAGGGCAGGAGAGGUUCAGAGGGUCUUAUUGGGGCUAGGGGUCAGGGAAUGGGGGUCUGGAGUAAUACUGGGGUCUGAACAGUGAGGGUGCAAGGGCUGGGGGGUUCAUAUUUGGGCUGAGGGGCAGGGUGUGAAGCAGGGAGAUGAAGGCUUGAGCAGGGCUGGGGAAUCAUUUUGCAGGCUGGGGAUCAGGGUAUGUAAGACUGGAAGGGGCACAGUGGGCACUGAGAGGCAGCAGGGUGCUGUGAGUAGUGGGGCUGUGGGGAGUAGGGACCGGGAGGGGAGGGGUGCAAAUGCAUAGGGAAUGUUCCUUGAGCAUCACAUGUCACGGGAUAUGGGGUGGUGGUUGCUUCUGGAAGAAAUACAGCCCCAACUCAUGGCUGAAGAUCACUAGGUCUUCUUGGGAAGCCAGCAUUCAUCAGGUGAGUGGGACCAAGGCAAGGCCAAUGACUCAUGUGCUCUCUCUGGGUGGGCAGCAGCCACACAGGAGGCCUCCAUGCCUGCUGGUGCCAUGGUAGGCUGAGGGCCUGGGGAUGGCUGCUGGCGGCUGUGUCUCAGCCUGGUGCCUGCUGGCCUUACCCGUGCCCCAGAUCAACCUCCAGAGGUCCCCCUGCUGGGUUCCUCCUAUGCAGUAACAGGUGUGAGCAUCCAUGCAGCAUUCUGAUGGUCAUGUAUGAUACUGCACACAACGAGUUGCUGUCUUCAGCCAAAGGAAAGUACUCUUUACAGCUUCAGGACUAAUUUCUGUAAUGUGUACUGCAUCUUUUAGAAGCUGUCUCAUACUAUUAAACUGACAUUGCCCUUCCUUUACAGGCAGGUUUUAGAUGUGGAAAGUAGAACUUAGGUACACUGAUGAUAGUUUUUUACCCCUUGAUUUAUCACAGGUAGUAUCUGAGUUCCCAAACUUUAUAUCAUGUAAUAGGGAAUACCAAUAGGCUGGUUUCUUUACUUGAACAAACGAAGGUUCUGUUGAAAGCCAUGUACUUUGCCCUCCUGUUACAUCUGCGCUUUUCUUUAGUGUUGACUUUUCUCUACAACCAAGGAGUUCAGCUGAGGUCCCAGCUAAGGCCCUUGUGUGUUCUUGCAGGUGUGGGGCAGGCCUGGAUUGGCAGCUGGCACCCAAACAGCCCAGGCUUCUGAAGAAAAAAUCAUAAUAGUUCACCACCACUAAAAAGGCACUUUAUUUUUGGUGUCUGGCACUGGUGUGUGGUCAAAAUGCUAUAGGAAAGGAUUUUAAAACAAGCAGGGGGUGGGAUGCUGUUUUUAUGAUCUGUUUCAGUUGAUGCUGGUGCAUAGAAGGUCUAUGUGGGGCAGUGGUCUCCAGCUUAAGCUGGCUUUCUUGCUAAAACCCUGACUGGGUAAUGGGCUCUGUUCAGAAAACACUGCACAGUGCUUAGGCAGUCUCCAUUUUAAUUUGCUUUCCUGUGGCAGUAAAGCAGUCCUGAGGGGUUUCUCUCAAGCAGCUUACUGUGCAUGAGCUAGAGGCUUUUGGGCUUUUACAGGAAGCUUGCCUGGGAUCAUGAGAGGAGCUGAAGUGUAGGUGUUAUUGCUACAGCCAGCCAGCAGCAGGGAGGGCCAAGUUCAGCACAUGACUGAGAUGACAGAAGUCUAAUGCUCAGCUCAUUUUUCAGUAAGGGAUUUGAACAGAGAUGCCAGAUGUUUAGCAGGGCCCAGGAGCAGGCAAAGGGAACAGCAUACAUUACUGGGUGCCUGCAGACGUGGGGCACUUCCAGUUAAAUCUGUGCAGUCGCCAGCAGCUAUUUGAAUGCAUGGGGCUAUCCUCAUUGGCUGUGCCCAGGGGAGGGUCCUACUUUGAGAUAGGGGCAGGCAUUAGGUCCUCUGGUCCUCCUCCACAGCGGGAUUGAAACCAAAGCCUGUAUAGAUUUGUGAGAUGAUAAAGUAACUGCCUUCUUAAAUGACACGCACCUUUGGCAAAGUGUUUGUUUCAACAGUGUCAGGCAGGCACAUGUUCAGAAUAACCUUGCUUCAAAGUGUGCCAGGCUGCCUGCAGCUCUCUGAGCUUGCAAGAUACUUGUAGAUAAAGCACAGUGCUUCCCAGUACUGCAUUCAGCUGAUGGGCUGAAUGCUUAUUGCUUUUUCUCACCCCUGUCAACUCUCUUUUUCUUGCAGCCCACACCUAAGUAUUGUACCUUAUGUAAAACUAUAGCAAUGAUGCAAUUUAACAUCAUCCUUCUGGUCCUUUGUGGACUGUAAGGUGAAUUUUGCUGCCUUCUGACUUCAGCCAACCGUGACAGUUGUGCUUGGAUUCAAAUACAUGGUGGCUAAAUGAAGGUGGAGUUUCUUGGGGGAGGGGGGUUGGCGCCUGAGCUGCUGCCUGGGCUCUUGUCUGAGGCUUAGAAACAGUGGCCUUCCAGUGUAUGCAUCACUAAGUACUGUGCUUAAUGCUUGCUGCUCUUUAUGUAGGUGUUCCUGCUGACCAUGGAGUGGCUGCUGGAUCUGCACAUUCACCAAGGUAACUGAGCUAAGCUGUGCUCUCUGCCCACCAGAUGCAAAGCUGCGUGCUUGGAAUUUGCAACCAGUCCUCCCUUUCUGCUUUGUCUUCUAAUGUUGAAUUCACCUGGGCAGAACUGUCUGACAGUGUCAGGCUGCAGUUAGAAAACAUUUCACUUUUGUGCUGCUGCAGGCUGACACCCUUUGUUCAGCUUAUUACCGGAACAAGCAUUUCCAUUUCCCUUUCCCUUCACUAAUGCCACUCUUCCCUGGGUUACAAAUUGGUGUUUUCUAUCACCUGGGCUUCAGAACAAAGCAUGUGGAACCCUAGGUAGGGUGAUUGCAAAUUACCUGAUCUUUGUUGCACCUGGAAAAAGUUAUUUGUCUGAGUGAGGGUUUUCCUGUCCACCAAUUUUUAAAUUACAAAGUGCUUCCUCAUUUCAAUGAAUGUGCAGCAUAACCAUUUGCAAGAGGGCCCUGGGUUGUAGGCUGCUCAUGGCACACUUGUUCGCUCUGGUGCCCUGGCUUGCACGCUGAGCAGCUCUGACAUCUGUGUGCAGCUUUCCCUGCAGUGUGCUUGUUCUGCUUCAAUGUCCUGGUCAUUUCUUUUCAGGUGGCUGAACUGAAGAUCUGUCUGCAUUAUGGCGAGAGUGCUGCUCCUGCAGUUCUGUUUGUUUAUACCUGUGUGGUCUCUUCAGGCUAUAGAAGUGUUUUCUCAGAGUGCUUGGAUGAAGGCUGCCAGCAGAGGACUGAUCCACGCACAGGCUGGGCUGCUUUAGCUAUUACACUCAGGAGCACGGUUUAAAACAACCCAAACCCUGGAACGGCCAUCCAGGUAGGUAUUUCGGAGCAGAAGGGCUUCAUAAUGACACACCUCGUUUUCCUCAGGCAUGGGAAU